CCCGGCGACCGGCGCACGGGUGAGUAAACACGUAUGGAACCUGCCCGCAGCAGGGGGAUAAGCGGAAGAAAUUCCGUCUAAUACCGCGUAACACCGCAGAGGGGCAUCCCUCGGCGGUUAAAGAUUCAUCGGCUGCGGAUGGCCAUGCGGCGCAUUAGCUAGUCGGCGGGGUAACGGCCCACCGAGGCGACGAUGCGUAGGGGUUCUGAGAGGAAGGUCCCCCACACUGGUACUGAGACACGGACCAGACUCCUACGGAAGGCAGCAG
rnacentral:rRNA from 1 species